rnacentral:rRNA from 1 species
CACGUAGGGCGCAAGCGUUGUCCGGAAUUAUUGGGCGUAAAGAGCUCGUAGGCGGUCUGUUGCGUCCGCUGUGAAAACUCGGGGCUUAACCCCGAGCCUGCAGUGGAUACGGGCAGACUAGAGGUAGGUAGGGGAGAAUGGAAUUCCCGGUGUAGCGGUGAAAUGCGCAGAUAUCGGGAGGAACACCGGUGGCGAAGGCGGAUCUCUGGGCCGUAACUGACGCUGAGGAGCGAAAGCAUGGGGAG